rnacentral:pre_miRNA from 1 species
CCCGUGGCUAUAGACUGUUACUGCACUAUAUAGUUGUCAGGUAACAGUCUACAGCCAUGGUUG